rnacentral:lncRNA from 1 species
UUGCAUCUUAGAAAGUAUUAAGAGGAGAUUUACGUGCCUCAUGACUGAAGAAGGGAAAAUUAUCCACAACAAAACCAAAGCUCUGUAUCAACUACUCCAAAGUCCAAAAAGAAGAUGUACAAAGAGUGCUUCAUGAGAUAUUUCUUGAGGUUUCAUGAGAUAUUUCUUGAGGUUUCACCCGACACUUUUUGAUGCAGCAGACACAAGCAGACCAUUGUGGAGAAGGUGAGUAGGCAGAGGAGCUUUGCAAUUAGCAAUGUGAGACUUCAGCCUUGGGAUAUUAGGAUGUGCACUGCGACACCUGUGGCAGCGCAACUCCA